CUCAGAUCAUGUAAGAUUUUAAUGAUCGAACAGAUCAAAAUUUUAAACUUUUGCAUUUAAAUUUUAUCUUAAUCCAACAUCGAGGUCGCAAACUUUUUUUUUUAUUUGAACUAAAAAAAAAUAUUACGCUGUUAUCCCUAAGGUAAUUUUUUCUUAUAAUCAUUAUUAAUGGAUCAUUUAAUCAUUUAUUUAUGUUUAAUUUUUAAAAAAAGUUAAUUUAAUUUUUCUAUCACCCCAAUAUAAUAAUUAAUUUUAUUUUAAUAAAAAUUUUUAUAUAAUUUUAAAAUAAAAAUAAAUAUAAAACUCUAUAGGGUCUUCUCGUCUUUUAAAAUUAAUUUAGCUUUUUAACUAAAAAAUAAACUUCUAAAAAUAAAUAAGAGACAGUUUAUAUUUCAUUAAAUCUUUCAUACAAGUUUUCAAUUAAAAAACUAGUGAUUAUGCUACCUUUGUACAGUCAUUAUACUGCAGCCCUUUAAUUAUUAUCAGUGGGCAGAUUAGACCUUAAAUUAUAUUCAAAAAGACAUGUUUUUG
rnacentral:rRNA from 1 species